UUGGGAGCUUGCUCCCUGAUGUUAGCGGCGGACGGGUGAGUAACACGUGGGUAACCUGCCUGUAAGACUGGGAUAACUCCGGGAAACCGGGGCUAAUACCGGAUGCUUGUUUGAACCGCAUGGUUCAAACAUAAAAGGUGGCUUCGGCUACCACUUACAGAUGGACCCGCGGCGCAUUAGCUAGUUGGUGAGGUAAUGGCUCACCAAGGCAACGAUGCGUAGCCGACCUGAGAGGGUGAUCGGCCACACUGGAACUGAGACACGGCCCAGACUCCUACGGGAGGCAGCAGUAGGGAAUCUUCCGCAAUGGACGAAAGUCUGACGGAGCAACGCCGCGUGAGUGAUGAAGGUUUUCGGAUCGUAAAGCUCUGUUGUUAGGGAAGAACAAGUAUCGUUCGAAUAGGGCGGUACCUUGACGGUACCUAACCAGAAAGCCACGGCUAACUACGUGCCAGCAGCCGCGGUAAUACGUAGGUGGCAAGCGUUGUCCGGAAUUAUUGGGCGUAAAGGGCUCGCAGGCGGUUUCUUAAGUCUGAUGUGAAAGCCCCCGGCUCAACCGGGGAGGGUCAUUGGAAACUGGGGAACUUGAGUGCAGAAGAGGAGAGUGGAAUUCCACGUGUAGCGGUGAAAUGCGUAGAGAUGUGGAGGAACACCAGUGGCGAAGGCGACUCUCUGGUCUGUAACUGACGCUGAGGAGCGAAAGCGUGGGGAGCGAACAGGAUUAGAUACCCUGGUAGUCCACGCCGUAAACGAUGAGUGCUAAGUGUUAGGGGGUUUCCGCCCCUUAGUGCUGCAGCU
rnacentral:rRNA from 1 species